GCUGUUGAAGCAGAGCAGAAAAUAUAGGAUGUUAGCUUUGAUAUCUAGGAAGCUCUACAGGAAAUACGUUUCGUUACUCUCUAGUCCGGUUAAAUCCCGAAAACGUAGGGUGUGGUCAACUGUAGAAAAUUCUAGAUUUUGGGAAGAUGAAGUAUCAAAGUUUAGUGAUAAAAAGUUCAAAAACACGUUUCGGUUUGACAGAUGUACGUUUAAUUUGUUGGUCAAAAAAUUACAUCGCCUGCAAAGAGAAGAUACUCUUUGGCGGUCUGCUAUUCGGUUGGAGAAACGCAUCGCUAUUGCCCUGUAUGCUUUCGGAUCGUCAGCGGAAUCAUGACAAUACGUGAGACGAGUAGCGAGACGUAGCUUUCUGAAUUAUUUACUUUUUGUUUGGUUGUGUGGUUAUGGUUUCAUAUCAACUCGCUGAGGAAAACAACUGAAGGAAGAAAUGAACAAAUAUAUAUUCGUGAAAAAUAGUGUACUAUAGCUGCAAUAAGAUGCCGUAUUAUUGUGCAGUAAAAGGAUGUGGAAACAAGGUUCUCAUAACGAAAAAUAACCCGGACAUUGUUUACCACACUUUUCUCCGAGAUGGAGAUAAAAAUCAAGGUAUAUGCUCACGUCAUUUCCAUAGCAGCAGCUACGAUGACCGACAUCAAAUGCGCCAUGAACUUAAUGGGCUGUGUGGUAUACGUUGCAAAUCGUGAAUAUUGUCACCGGAUUAAGGGCAUUGUAGUGAUGUAGAACGUUGAACUUUUGACUAGUCUGAAAUCGAUCCACCGCCGCAACAAUAAGAAAUUUCUCACCGUGCAAUUUUUCGAAAUGACUGGUAUACUCAUCGGCAGUGCGGAAAUACUCUCAGCAUACAAAGCAGCAGCGCAAAGAGGGGUCCAAAUUGUGUUUCAGCAUACGUUCCACCGCAGUCACAUAACGAAUUUCCGAUAGAAAUCGAUUCGCCACUACCAUCUCUUUAAUUUCCUUCAAAACUUUGUCGUUUUGUAAAAUUGCAUCCAGCAUACGCAGGAAU